AUUGAACGCUGGCGGCAGGCCUAACACAUGCAAGUCGAGUGAGCGGCGGACGGGUGAGUAAUGUAUGGGGACUGCCCGAUAGUGGGGGAUAACUACUGGAAACGGUGGCUAAUACCGCAUCCUAUCGCACAACCCAUAUGGGAUAGCUAGUAGGUGGGGAAACGGCUCACCUAGGCGACGAUCUCUAGCUGGUCGGCGUGGAUGAUCAGCAACACUGGGACUGAGACACGGCCCAGAGUCCAACGGAGGCAGCAGUGGGGAAUAUUGCACAAGGAGCGAAAGCCUGAUGCAGCCAUGCCGGGUGUAUGAAGAAGGCCUUAGGGUUGUAAAGUAUUUUCAGCGGGGAGGCGUUACCCGCAGAGGAAGCGCCGGCUAACUCCGUGCCAGCAGCCGCGGUAAUUC
rnacentral:rRNA from 1 species